CUUGGUCAUUUAGAGGAAGUAAAAGUCGUAACAAGGUUUCCGUAGGUGCAUGCAACGUUUGCCUACCGGUGCCCCGCAGCGACUCUAAACAAGUGCGCAGUCGGCGACUCCAUCGCUGGCGACGCUACCAAUCUGCGCUGGGAGCGCCCGAACGCGGGCGUGACCAGCAGCUCCUCUGGAGUUCACAGGUCAAACGGUUGCGGCCACCCGGGGGGUGGUUCUGAUAUGAUCGGCCCCAGCCGUUGUACCACGGCUGGCGAAGUUUCGUGGAACCUGCGGAAGGAUCAUUA
rnacentral:rRNA from 1 species